GAUGAACGCUAGCGGCAGGCUUAAUACAUGCAAGUCGUGGGGCAGCGCAGUGUAGCAAUACAUGGGCGGCGACCGGCAAACGGGUGCGGAACACGUACGCAACCUUCCUUCAAGUGGGGAAUAGCCCAGAGAAAUUUGGAUUAAUACCCCGUAAUAUUAUGAAAUGGCAUCGUUUUAUAAUUAUAGCUACGGCGCUUGAAGAUGGGCGUGCGCCUGAUUAGGUAGUUGGCGGGGUAAUGGCCCACCAAGCCUUCGAUCAGUAACUGGUGUGAGAGCACGACCAGUCACACGGGCACUGAGACACGGGCCCGACUCCUACGGGAGGCAGCAGUAAGGAAUAUUGGUCAAUGGACGCAAGUCUGAACCAGCCAUGCCGCGUGGAGGAUGAAGGUCCUCUGGAUUGUAAACUUCUUUUAUUUGGGAAGAAACCCACUUUUUCUAAGGUGGUUGACGGUACCAGAUGAAUAAGCACCGGCUAACUCCGCGCCAGCAGCCGCGGUAAUACGGAGGGUGCAAGCGUUAUCCGGAUUCACUGGGUUUAAAGGGUGCGUAGGUGGGCAGGUAAGUCAGUGGUGAAAUCUCCGGGCUUAACCCGGAAACUGCCGUUGAUACUAUCU
rnacentral:rRNA from 1 species